UAAAAGGUACUCCGGGGAUAACAGGCUGAUACCGCCCAAGAGUUCAUAUCGACGGCGGUGUUUGGCACCUCGAUGUCGGCUCAUCACAUCCUGGGGCUGAAGUAGGUCCCAAGGGUAUGGCUGUUCGCCAUUUAAAGUGGUACGCGAGCUGGGUUUAGAACGUCGUGAGACAGUUCGGUCCCUAUCUGCCGUGGGCGCUGGAGAAUUGAGGGGGGCUGCUCCUAGUACGAGAGGACCGGAGUGGACGCAUCACUGGUGUUCGGGUUGUCAUGCCAAUGGCACUGCCCGGUAGCUAAAUGCGGAAGAGAUAAGUGCUGAAAGCAUCUAAGCACGAAACUUGCCCCGAGAUGAGUUCUCCCUGAGACUUUAAGUCUCCUGAAGGAACGUUGAAGACGACGACGUUGAUAGGCCGGGUGUGUAAGCGCAGCGAUGCGUUGAGCUAACCGGUACUAAUGAACCGUGAGGCUUAACCUUACAACGCCGAAG
rnacentral:rRNA from 1 species